rnacentral:rRNA from 1 species
AUUGAACGCUGGCGGCAUGCCUUACACAUGCAAGUCGAACGGCAGCAUGGAGAGCUUGCUCUCUGAUGGCGAGUGGCGAACGGGUGAGUAAUGCAUCAGAACGUACCGUGUAAUGGGGGAUAACGUAGCGAAAGUUACGCUAAUACCGCAUACGACCUGAGGGUGAAAGCAGGGGAUCGCAAGACCUUGCGUUAUACGAGCGGCCGAUGUCAGAUUAGCUAGUUGGUAGGGUAAAGGCCUACCAAGGCGACGAUCUGUAGCGGGUCUGAGAGGAUGAUCCGCCACACUGGGACUGAGACACGGCCCAGACUCCUACGGGAGGCAGCAGUGGGGAAUUUUGGACAAUGGGGGCAACCCUGAUCCAGCCAUGCCGCGUGAGUGAAGAAGGCCUUCGGGUUGUAAAGCUCUUUCGGCCGGGAAGAAAUCGCACAGGCUAAUACUCUGUGUGGAUGACGGUACCGGCAUAAGAAGCACCGGCUAACUACGUGCCAGCAGCCGCGGUAAUAC